UGCUAUAAAUAGGUGGAGGAGGACAGACACUCUUCACCCCAAAAUUAAAAGAAAAAAAGGCAGUACUAAUUAAUUAUCCAUCAUGGCUGUUCACAAGGAAGUUAAUUUCGUUGCUUACCUACUAAUUGUUCUCGGAUUAUUGGUACUUGUAAGCGCGAUGGAGCAUGUUGAUGCGAAGGCUUGCACUUUAGAAUGUGGUAAUCUUGGGUUUGGGAUAUGCCCACGUUCAGAAGGAAGUCCGGAAAAUCACAUAUGCACCAACUGUUGUGCAGGUUAUAAAGGUUGCAAUUAUUAUAGUGCAAAUGGGGCUUUCAUUUGUGAAGGACAAUCUGACCCAAAAAAACCAAAAGCAUGCCCCCUAAAUUGUGAUCCACAUAUUGCCUACUCAAAGUGUCCCCGUUCAGAAGGAAAAUCGCUAAUUUAUCCCACCGGAUGUACCACAUGCUGCACAGGGUACAAGGGUUGCUACUAUUUCGGUAAAAAUGGCAAGUUUGUAUGUGAAGGAGAGAGUGAUGAGCCCAAGGCAAAUAUGUACCCAGCAAUGUGACCCUAGACUUGUCCAUCUUCUGGAUUGGCCAACUUAAUUAAUGUAUGAAAUAAAAGGAUGCACACAUAGUGACAUGCUAAUCACUAUAAUGUGGGCAUCAAAGUUGUGUGUUAUGUGUAAUUGCUAGUUAUCUGAAUAAAAGAGAAAGAGAUCAUCCAUAUUUCUUUUCCUAAA